rnacentral:rRNA from 1 species
UUAAGCGACUAAGCGUACACGGUGGAUGCCCUGGCAGUCAGAGGCGAUGAAGGGCGUGCUAAUCUGCGAUAAGCGCCGGUAAGGUGAUAUGAACCGUUAUAACCGGCGAUACCCGAAUGGGGAAACCCAGUGUGAUUCGUCACACUAUCAUUAACUGAAUCCAUAGGUUAAUGAGGCGAACCGGGGGAACUGAAACAUCUAAGUACCCCGAGGAAAAGAAAUCAACCGAGAUUCCCCCAGUAGCGGCGAGCGAACGGGGAGGAGCCCAGAGCCUGAAUCAGCAUGUGUGUUAGUGGAAGCGUCUGGAAAGGCGCGCGAUACAGGGUGACAGCCCCGUACACAAAAGCGCAUGUGUUGUGAGCUCGAUGAGUAGGGCGGGACACGUGGUAUCCUGUCUGAAUAUGGGGGGACCAUCCUCCAAGGCUAAAUACUCCUGACUGACCGAUAGUGAACCAGUACCGUGAGGGAAAGGCGAAAAGAACCCCGGCGAGGGGAGUGAAAAAGAACCUGAAACCGUGUACGUACAAGCAGUGGGAGCACCCUUCGGGGUGUGACUGCGUACCUUUUGUAUAAUGGGUCAGCGACUUAUAUUCUGUAGCAAGGUUAACCGAAUAGGGGAGCCGGAGGGAAACCGAGUCUUAAUUGGGCGUUAAGUUGCAGGGUAUAGACCCGAAACCCGGUGAUCUAGCCAUGGGCAGGUUGAAGGUUGGGUAACACUAACUGGAGGACCGAACCGACUAAUGUUGAAAAAUUAGCGGAUGACCUGUGGCUGGGGGUGAAAGGCCAAUCAAACCGGGAGAUAGCUGGUUCUCCCCGAAAGCUAUUUAGGUAGCGCCUCGUGAAUUCAUCUCCGGGGGUAGAGCACUGUUUCGGCUAGGGGGCCAUCCCGGCUUACCAACCCGAUGCAAACUGCGAAUACCGGAGAAUGUUAUCACGGGAGACACACGGCGGGUGCUAACGUCCGUCGUGAAGAGGGAAACAACCCAGACCGCCAGCUAAGGUCCCAAAGUCAUGGUUAAGUGGGAAACGAUGUGGGAAGGCCCAGACAGCCAGGAUGUUGGCUUAGAAGCAGCCAUCAUUUAAAGAAAGCGUAAUAGCUCACUGGUCGAGUCGGCCUGCGCGGAAGAUGUAACGGGGCUAAACCAUGCACCGAAGCUGCGGCAGCGACACUGUGUGUUGUUGGGUAGGGGAGCGUUCUGUAAGCCUGCGAAGGUGGCCUGUGAGGGUUGCUGGAGGUAUCAGAAGUGCGAAUGCUGACAUAAGUAACGAUAAAGCGGGUGAAAAGCCCGCUCGCCGGAAGACCAAGGGUUCCUGUCCAACGUUAAUCGGGGCAGGGUGAGUCGACCCCUAAGGCGAGGCCGAAAGGCGUAGUCGAUGGGAAACGGGUUAAUAUUCCCGUACUUGGUGUUACUGCGAAGGGGGGACGGAGAAGGCUAUGUUGGCCGGGCGACGGUUGUCCCGGUUUAAGCGUGUAGGUGUGUGUUCCAGGUAAAUCCGGUUCCUUAUUAACACUGAGGCGUGACGACGAGGCACUACGGUGCUGAAGCAACAAAUGCCCUGCUUCCAGGAAAAGCCUCUAAGCAUCAGGUAACAUCAAAUCGUACCCCAAACCGACACAGGUGGUCAGGUAGAGAAUACCAAGGCGCUUGAGAGAACUCGGGUGAAGGAACUAGGCAAAAUGGUGCCGUAACUUCGGGAGAAGGCACGCUGACACGUAGGUGAAGUGAUUUACUCACGGAGCUGAAGUCAGUCGAAGAUACCAGCUGGCUGCAACUGUUUAUUAAAAACACAGCACUGUGCAAACACGAAAGUGGACGUAUACGGUGUGACGCCUGCCCGGUGCCGGAAGGUUAAUUGAUGGGGUCAGCGCAAGCGAAGCUCCUGAUCGAAGCCCCGGUAAACGGCGGCCGUAACUAUAACGGUCCUAAGGUAGCGAAAUUCCUUGUCGGGUAAGUUCCGACCUGCACGAAUGGCGUAAUGAUGGCCAGGCUGUCUCCACCCGAGACUCAGUGAAAUUGAACUCGCUGUGAAGAUGCAGUGUACCCGCGGCAAGACGGAAAGACCCCGUGAACCUUUACUAUAGCUUGACACUGAACAUUGAGCCUUGAUGUGUAGGAUAGGUGGGAGGCUUUGAAGCGUGGACGCCAGUCUGCGUGGAGCCGACCUUGAAAUACCACCCUUUAAUGUUUGAUGUUCUAACGUGGACCCGUAAUCCGGGUUGCGGACAGUGUCUGGUGGGUAGUUUGACUGGGGCGGUCUCCUCCUAAAGAGUAACGGAGGAGCACGAAGGUUGGCUAAUCCUGGUCGGACAUCAGGAGGUUAGUGCAAUGGCAUAAGCCAGCUUGACUGCGAGCGUGACGGCGCGAGCAGGUGCGAAAGCAGGUCAUAGUGAUCCGGUGGUUCUGAAUGGAAGGGCCAUCGCUCAACGGAUAAAAGGUACUCCGGGGAUAACAGGCUGAUACCGCCCAAGAGUUCAUAUCGACGGCGGUGUUUGGCACCUCGAUGUCGGCUCAUCACAUCCUGGGGCUGAAGUAGGUCCCAAGGGUAUGGCUGUUCGCCAUUUAAAGUGGUACGCGAGCUGGGUUUAGAACGUCGUGAGACAGUUCGGUCCCUAUCUGCCGUGGGCGCUGGAGAACUGAGGGGGGCUGCUCCUAGUACGAGAGGACCGGAGUGGACGCAUCACUGGUGUUCGGGUUGUCAUGCCAAUGGCACUGCCCGGUAGCUAAAUGCGGAAGAGAUAAGUGCUGAAAGCAUCUAAGCACGAAACUUGCCCCGAGAUGAGUUCUCCCUGAGACUUAGAGUCUCCUGAAGGAACGUUGAAGACGACGACGUUGAUAGGCCGGGUGUGUAAGCGCAGCGAUGCGUUGAGCUAACCGGUACUAAUGAACCGUGAGGCUUAACCUU